rnacentral:rRNA from 1 species
CCCUUAGAUGUCCGGGGCCGCACGCGCGCUACACUGAAGGAAUCAGCGUGGCUUUCUCCCUGACCCGAAAGGGUUGGGAAACCCGUUGAAUCUCCUUCGUGAUAGGGAUUGGGGCUUGAAAUUGUUCCCCAUGAACGAGGAAUUCCCAGUAAGCGCGAGUCAUAAGCUCGCGUUGAUUACGUCCCUGCCCUUUGUACACACCGCCCGUCGCUACUACCGAUUUUGAGUGGUCCGGUGAACCUUCUGGAUUGUGCGGCUUGCCGCGCGAGAAGUUAUGUAAACCUUAUCACUUAGAGGAAGGAGAAGUCGUAACA